UCCUUGGUGGCUUAGUGGUUAGGAUUCUGGGCUUUCACUGCUGUUGCCCAGGUUCAAUCCCUGGUCAAGGAA
rnacentral:tRNA from 1 species